rnacentral:rRNA from 1 species
GACGAACGCUGGCGGCGUGCUUAACACAUGCAAGUCGAACGGAAAGGCCCUGCUUUUGUGGGGUGCUCGAGUGGCGAACGGGUGAGUAACACGUGAGUAACCUGCCCUUGACUUUGGGAUAACUUCAGGAAACUGGGGCUAAUACCGGAUAGGAGCUCCUGCUGCAUGGUGGGGGUUGGAAAGUUUCGGCGGUUGGGGAUGGACUCGCGGCUUAUCAGCUUGUUGGUGGGGUAGUGGCUUACCAAGGCUUUGACGGGUAGCCGGCCUGAGAGGGUGACCGGCCACAUUGGGACUGAGAUACGGCACAGACUCCUACGGGAGGCAGCAGUGGGGAAUAUUGCAAAAUGGGCGGAAGCAUGAUGCAGCAACGACGCGUGCGGGAUGACGGCCUUCGGGUUGUAAACCGCUUUCGCCUGUGACGAAGCGUGAGUGACGGUAAUGGGUAAAGAAGCACCGGAUAACUACGU